CCAACGCUAGUUGUGGCUUCUUUUAUCGUUUCCACUAGUCCAAUGCUAGUCGGAAUUCAUAGAAUGGGUUAGUCCAACGCUAGACCCUUAGGGAUUUUCCCUCGAUAGUACAUCAUUUGCUUGUUCACCACAUAUCACGCAUUUUCCUUAGUUUUAUCAUUUGGCAUGAUCCUCAAACCCCUUUUCCUCUCAUUUUAGGUUUUGCAUCCCAUACUAGCUAUAGGGUUCAUUUUGCUUGAGUGUCCCCCUCCGAUAAGGGAAACGAGCGAGUGUGGCUACUCGAUAGCCUUAGCACGCUAGUUUCGCCUUCUAAUCCAAGGGAAAAUCGAAGUCGAAAAGUUAGAAGUCAACCCCCGUAC
rnacentral:lncRNA from 1 species